GUAGUAUUCCCUCCGUCCCAAAAUUCUUGUCUUACAUUUGUUUAGAUAUAGAUGUAUCUAACACUAAAAUGUAACUAGAUACAUCCGUAUUUAGACAAAUUUAAGACAAGAAUUUUGGGACNAUACGAG
rnacentral:pre_miRNA from 1 species